GCAGCUCCCACCAGUUCAGCUUCAACACAAACCAUGUUCCCUGAAACUCUGCUGCUGCUACUGGCAGCUGCCUCCUGUGUUCACUGUCAGAUCGUACUCACACAGGCUGAACAGUCAGUCCAGGGGACCCCUGCAGGAUCCCUCAAACUCACAUGUGCCUGUAGUGGAUUUACUCUAAGCAGCUACAGAAUGCACUGGAUCCGGCAAGCACCUGGACAGGGGUUACAAUGGAUUCUUCACUAUUAUACUAGCAGUAACAACGGUUAUGCCCCGGUUCUGCAAGGCCGAUUUACAGCAUCGAAGGACAGCACUAAUUUCUAUCUGCAUAUGACUCAGCUGAAGCCAGAGGACUCUGCAGUGUAUUACUGUGCUAGAGACUCACAAUGGUAA